rnacentral:rRNA from 1 species
GAUGAACGCUGGCGGCGUGCCUAAUACAUGCAAGUCGAGCGAAUGGAUUAAGAGCUUGCUCUUAUGAAGUUAGCGGCGGACGGGUGAGUAACACGUGGGUAACCUGCCCAUAAGACUGGGAUAACUCCGGGAAACCGGGGCUAAUACCGGAUAACAUUUUGAACCGCAUGGUUCGAAAUUGAAAGGCGGCUUCGGCUGUCACUUAUGGAUGGACCCGCGUCGCAUUAGCUAGUUGGUGAGGUAACGGCCCACCAAGGCAACGAUGCGUAGCCGACCUAGGAGGGUGAUCGGCCACACUGGGCCUGAGACACGGCCCAGCCUCCUACGGGGGGCAGCAGUAGGGAAUCUUCCGCAAUGGACGAAAGUCUGACGGAGCAACGCCGCGUGAGUGAUGAAGGCUUUCGGGUCGUAAAACUCUGUUGUUAGGGAAGAACAAGUGCUAGUUGAAUAAGCUGGCACCUUGACGGUACCUAACCAGAAAGCCACGGCUAACUACGUGCCAGCCGCCGCCGUAA